GAACGCUGGCGGCGUGCUUAACACAUGCAAGUCGAACGGUGAUCUUGAGAGCUUGCUCUUGGGUGAUCAGUGGCGAACGGGUGAGUAACACGUGAGUAACCUGCCCCUGACUCUGGAAUAACUUCGGGAAACCGAAGCUAAUACCGGAUAUGACACAGAGCCGCAUGGUUUCUGUGUGGAAAGUUUUUCGGUUGGGGAUGGACUCGCGGCCUAUCAGCUUGUUGGUGAGGUAAUGGCUCACCAAGGCGACGAUCAGUAGCCGACCUGAGAGGGUGACCGGCCACACUGGAACUGAGACACGGUCCAGACUCCUACGGGAGGCAGCAGUGGGGAAUAUUGCGCAAUGGGGGCAACCCUGACGCAGCAACGCCGCGUGAGUGAGGAAGGUUUUCGGAUUGUAAAGCUCUGUCGAGCGGAAAGAAAUGCACGAUGGCUAAUAUCCAUCAUGCUUGACGGUACCGCUAGAGGAAGCACCGGCUAACUCCGUG
rnacentral:rRNA from 1 species